rnacentral:RNase_P_RNA from 1 species
CGAGAUGGUCGGACGGUCGCGAGUGAGCCUUCGGGCUCGUUCGAGGAAAGUCCGGGCUCCAAGGUGUAAGGCAGCGGGUAACGCCCGUCCGCCGCGAGGCGCGGACUAGUGCCACAGAGACGAGUCCACCGCGAGCUUCGGUUCGCUGGUGGGGUGAAACGCGGCAAACUCUGCCUGGAGCAAGGUCAAAUAGGAGGACGUUUCAGCCCUUGUGGCUGGAACUGGCGCACCGCCAGGGUCCUCGGGUUGAUCGCUCGAGCCACUGAGUAAUCGGUGGCCUAGAUGGAUGGCCGUCCCUCCCGCAAGGGGGGACAGAACCCGGCUUACAGACCAUCUCGCCGG